UACGAAGGGGACUAGCGUUGCUCGGAAUCACUGGGCGUAAAGCGCACGUAGGCGGAUCUUUAAGUCAGGGGUGAAAUCCCGAGGCUCAACCUCGGAACUGCCUUUGAUACUGGGGAUCUCGAGUCCGGGAGAGGUGAGUGGAACUGCGAGUGUAGAGGUGAAAUUCGUAGAUAUUCGCAAGAACACCAGUGGCGAAGGCGGCUCACUGGCCCGGAACUGACGCUGAGGUGCGAAAGCGUGGGGAGCAAACAGG
rnacentral:rRNA from 1 species